CCAAAUUGUAGCCGCCGCCGCACUCGCGCGCGCUGCUCGCGAAAGGCCCCUAAAGAUAAAAUAUGUGUCUGUGUGNGCGGCGCGCGCCUGCGCGCAUCAAGCGGCCAUUGCUGAGGAGGACCUUGUUUCUUUUCAUCAGCUUUUGUCUUUUCUACUGGAUGGAAGCAUGUAAAAAAUGAUACUGAAGAGAAACAAUGUUGGUCCUCGAUAUUCAAGGCUUUCUUUCACUUGCAUCGGUCUUUGCCACAUGACACCUAGUGAAGCAGCAAGGGAAGCAUGGAAUGAAGGUCUGUGGCAUGAAAUAUAUUGGAAAAAAUCAAUGGAGAAUUUCCCCAGAGAAACAGAAUAAAAUGGUUCUAAACUGUUGGAAAAUGAAAAAAUUCUCGAGCUGGGAGCUCCUAUGGUAAUAUUUGAGCAGCCUUGGAUAUGCAAACUCUCCUUCCUCUGAACAGAAAAGGAAGAUGCUGGGCUCUUCACAAGGAGGGAAGAAGGGAAGGAAAAAGAAGAGAAGGAAGGAAGAACUGGUCACAUCAUAUUUGGCUUCAGAGUCUCGAAAUAUUGUACAGUGGCUAAGAGGACCUAAGUGCUCACCAAGUGCAAAACAAGCCAGAAAACCUCCAAACACAGCAGGACAUCUUAGCACUGCAGAACUGUCCCCACCAUAA
rnacentral:lncRNA from 1 species